rfam:Thiomonas delicata strain DSM 16361 genome assembly, scaffold: BBA-D_THIARS_scaffold5
UGACAGGGCAGCUAGGGUUCCGGCUUCUUCGCGAAGCGUCUGGUCCGAGAGCCGCCCGGCCUCCCCUGGAGGCUCCACGGAGGGAUAAAAGCCCGGGAGAA